rnacentral:rRNA from 1 species
CCGGGAUGGGCCCGCGGCCCAUUAGCUAGUUGGUGAGGUAACGGCCCACCAAGGCGAUGAUGGGUAGCCGGCCUGAGAGGGUGUACGGCCACACUGGGACUGAGAUACGGCCCAGACUCCUACGGGAGGCAGCAGCUAAGAAUAUUCCGCAAUGGACGAAAGUCUGACGGAGCGACGCCGCGUGGAUGAAGAAGGCCGAAAGGUUGUAAAAUCCUUUUGUCGGGGAAGAAUAAGCGUGGGAGGGAAUGCCCGCGUGAUGACAUGAACCGGCGAAUAAGCCCCGGCUAACUACGUGCCAGCAGCCGCGGUAACACGUAGGGGGCGAGCGUUGUUCGGAAUUACUGGGCGUAAAGGGCAUGUAGGCGGUUUUGUAAGCCUGGCGUGAAAUUCUGCAGCUUAACUGUAGGACUGCGCUGGGAACUGCGAGACUGGAGUCACGGAGAGGGAGCCAGAAUUCCAGUGUAUGGGUGAAAUCUGUAGAUAUCUGGAAGAAUACCAAUGGCGAAAGCAGGCUUCUGGGCCGAUGACUGGCGCUGAGUGCGAAAGCGUGGUAGCAAACGGGAUUAGAUACCCUGGUAGUCCACGCGUAAACGAUGCACACUAGUGCCGGGGCGGACGCUUCGGCGCGGAGCAACGUGAUAAGUGUGCCGCUUGGGGAGUAUGCAGCACGGUGACUCAAGAAUGGAACGGGGUCCCGC